rnacentral:tRNA from 1 species
AUUCCUGUAGUUGAAUUACAACGGUGGUUCUUCAAGUCACUGGUCUCGGCUAGUACCCGAGUGGGAAUU